CCGAACUGCUGUCCUCACUUUCGAUCAAUUCUUUGCUCCAAGCGCUAGCGCCGGAUGCAAAAAUUGGGUUCCUGUGYUGCAUACCUAUUGCGACGGAAAUUUGUUCCUCUAGUUGUCCCUUCCAUCACAGCAUCCUUUCGGGUGCUUGGGUGGACUAGAUAGCGGGGCUUGUGUUCCCACGAGCGAUCUAUGGGAUCGUUCGAACGGACCGCGAGUGCUUGCUUGUUCUCUCGGAUGCGGAACUUUGUUCCUGGGCAUGGGGUCAUCGGCCCUUGCUCCCAAUUCUCUAAGCGUUUAUCGCUUUACUGGAAUGACGCUCUUGCCUUGUCUUUGAUCAAAGUGGAGCUCUCGAGCUCCAUGACGGAUCAUGCUCGGCGGACGUCGUGAAGGAAUGCUACCUGGUUG
rnacentral:misc_RNA from 1 species